CUGGAGAUCACUCCUCAUGAAGUCCUUCUGUGAGCCCAGGGCAUGGGAUGAAGCAAAUGUUUUAAAUUACAGCUACGGAGAGAGAAUUUAACUAAAGCAGAAAUAUGAGUCACAAAAACAUUCGUGCCGUAUUUUCAGGCUCCACUUGGAUCUGCGUAGGAAGAUUGUCUCAUCCAUGCAGAGCUCUGUGUGUACCAAUGCUCUGCUCAGGUGUUUCUGAAAACAUGAUGAGAGCUGAGGUCUGAGCAAUGGGGACUGCACUUCACUGUAUGUUUAAGCAUGGUACUGGCUUUACAGUUUGCACUGACUCAACACAAGGGAAAAGAUAAUUACACACAACAGCAACAACAAUGAAUCAAAACAUGCAGACCGUCAGACUUUUUUGAAAACUCAUGCAAUGGAAAUAGGCAUUGCCAUUAAAAGUAACUGAUCUGUGUUUCCUCUUUCAAACCUUUACUUUCUCACAUGCUACUGUUUGAUUCUGUUAGCAACCUCAGUGUAGUAAGGAGUUGCUGAUGAAGAGAAUACUAUAGGGCAGCAUUGUCUCCCCAGAGCCGUAGUGAGCUUAUUCUUAUACUCCUGGGAUCAUAGCAGAGGGCUCAUGCUCAGCUAUCUGUUUUGCUUUUUAUGUUUUCUUUAGUUGUUUUUCACUUUGGCGCUGAGUGGGCAGACAAGACUCUUGAACAAUCUGUAAUUACAUAGUGUCACAGUUGAUGAGGUUACAAAGGAGUAAAUAUGUAGUUGGUAUUAGAGAGGAUAUUUUUAACAAUACUCACUCUGCAUCUAAUAGAGUGCAUCUGUGUCCUCUGCGGGCCCUUUGCCUCAGAUAAUAUAAAAGGAGAGCAAUGAGGAAGAGAGGAGCAUAAUAAUAUCUGCAUAGUCUUCAGCGAAAUCAGUUUCUGCAAAUACACACUUGACAUCUGAACUCUUUCAUACCAGUACUGCUCCU
rnacentral:lncRNA from 7 species